UGUCUACUUGUUGGUGUAUGGAAUGACUGCAAGGUGUCAUAUAAAAAUAAGAAGAUGUCUGUCUGCCAAGUUUAAUAUUACUGUGACCUCAUUUUCAUAGAAUAUUGAUAAUAUCAAGCAAAAAUGAUGAGCAAGACAAGAUACAAAUGAUCCAAAAUUGUCAGUUGCCUACUCAUUAUGUAAUAGUAGUUAUUGUCAUUAAAUGAUAAUGUUUACCCUUUUAUGUGUAGGGCAAGAACAUUAAAGAUAAAGGGAAACUAUAAACAAAAGAAAUUAUCAACAAAAAUAGAUUUACAGACGUCAACAAAGCCUAAAUGGUCAGACAUCUUGGUUUUCAUGAUCAUCAUUCAACAGGUCAAUACUGAACAGCAAACUUAAAGUUGAUAUUUUUCUACAUAGUGUGACUUUUUUAUUAAUUUGAAAUGGAAUGUGUUUUUUUCCUACAUAAGAAAAAGGAAAUUUCAACAUAAUGACUAUAAAUAAAAAGGAGUCAUAUCAUCAUGAUCAUAGAUGCUCAAGAACUUAAUCAUGUAAAUGCAACAACGUAAUUAUCAAUUGAAAGAAGGGAGGAAUGAAAAAAUAUAUUAGUAUUUGGUUGUCCAAAUGAACUUGCUUUGUCCACUCAUUUAAAUCGCUCCACCCAAUAAAGAUGUACGGAGGAAGAUUUUUGAAGAACAGAUUGCAAAAAUGUUUUAUCUAAGAAUUGUAGGAAUAUUCUAGUGGAUGAAAUAAUUUAUUUACUUGACUCUUAUAUAGUGGACUGAAUAAUUGUUCAUAGCAAGCUGAAACAAGAAAACUAAAACUUAACAGGAAAAGUGUUUAUUUUAUAAAUUUACAAAUAUAAAUGUAAUAUUAUGAACACCACAAAGGAAUAAGAUUCAAAUCGUUUGCAUAUUCAUGUAUUGCAAUGAAACUAUAACAAAGACAACUUUACCUCAUGAAAAGAGUAAACUAUUAACUGUGCUUUGUCAAUUUAUUCAGUCAGAAUAUGAAAUAUUUUUUUCAGUUCUAUUUUUCAUAAUAAAACAAAGAAGACAAAGAU